ACGGGAGGCAGCAGUGGGGAAUAUUGCACAAUGGGCGCAAGCCUGAUGCAGCGAUGCCGCGUGAGGGAAGAAGGUUUUCGGAUUGUAAACCUCUGUCAACAGGGACGAAAAUGACGGUACCUGUGAAGGAAGCUCCGGCUAACUACGUGCCAGCAGCCGCGGUAAUACGUAGGGAGCAAGCGUUAUCCGGAAUUACUGGGUGUAAAGGGAGUGUAGGCGGGACUGUAAGUCAGAUGUGAAAUAUGCCGGCUCAACUGGCAGACUGCAUUUGAAACUGCGGUUCUUGAGUGAAGUAGAGGUAAGCGGAAUUCCCAGUGUAGCGGUGAAAUGCGUAGAUAUUAGGAGGAACACCAGUGGCGAAGGCGGCUUUCUGGACAGUUACCGACACUGAGGCACGAAAGUGUGGGGGGCAAACAGGAUUAGAUACCCUGGUA
rnacentral:rRNA from 1 species